rnacentral:snRNA from 1 species
AUACUUACCUGGCAGGGGAGAUACCAUGAUCAUGGGGGUGGUUUUCCCAGGGCCAGGCUUAACCAUUGCACUCUGGAUGUGCUGACCCUACAAUUUCUCCAAAUGUGGGAAACUUGACUGCAUAAUUUGUGGUGGUGGGGGAGUGCAUUCGUGAUCUCCCCUA